rnacentral:rRNA from 1 species
GACGAACGCUGGCGGCGCGCCUAACACAUGCAAGUCGAACGAGCGAGAGAGAGCUUGCUUUCUCGAGCGAGUGGCGAACGGGUGAGUAACGCGUGAGGAACCUGCCUCAAAGAGGGGGACAACAGUUGGAAACGACUGCUAAUACCGCAUAAGCCCACAACCCGGCAUCGGGUUGAGGGAAAAGGAGCAAUCCGCUUUGAGAUGGCCUCGCGUCCGAUUAGCUAGUUGGUGAGGUAACGGCCCACCAAGGCGACGAUCGGUAGCCGGACUGAGAGGUUGAACGGCCACAUUGGGACUGAGACACGGCCCAGACUCCUACGGGAGGCAGCAGUGGGGGAUAUUGCGCAAUGGGGGAAACCCUGACGCAGCAACGCCGCGUGAAGGAUGAAGGUCUUCGGAUUGUAAACUCCUGUUGUUGAGGAAGAUAAUGACGGUACUCAACAAGGAAGUGACGGCUAACUACGUGCCAGCAGCCGCGGU